GUGGGAAGGUAACGGCGCUCCAUGCAGUCAUGCCGGCCACUUGACCUUGGAGGUGUCUACGGACAACGCCAGCUCUUCGGCUUAGAAAUGGAGAUGAGCACCAACCCCCAGAGUCAGACAUGACUGGACUUAAUGUCAGGGGAAAACCUUUACCUUUUAACUAGACAACAGGAGCCUAGUUAGGUCAACUUCUCCUCUUUAAUAAUUUCAUGGAAUAACACAAUCUUUCUUUUCUUUUUAUUGCUCAUUGAAAGAUGACGAUAGGUCUUCAGCAUCUGCAACUUUGUUUUGAUGAGUAGGACCCCAUCUGUCUUAAUUUAGGCUCCUCAGACUCAGAAUGACCAUUGUUAACAGGAGAUGAAGAUUUCUGGCAUUGGAAAUUGUCCACCUCUAGAGCAUGAGCUUUGACACAUUUUCUGAGAACUCCACUUGUCUUGUGGACAUUAAACAGAUUAAGAUAACUUUUUAUACUGAACAAUUUUUAUUGACAAUUGAAGACCUAUCUCUUCCAGCAGGCUUACCCAGUCUUUUUGUAAUUAUGAAUUUUAAACUCAUGUCUUGUGUUUAUAGUAUUUUUAUCAUCGUAUUUUAAUAUACAGUGUUCCCGCACUACUUCGCGGUUCACUUUUUGUGGAUUCGCUGUUUCACAGUUUUUCAAUAAACUCUAAAAGACUAUUAUAAAUCAUAAAAAAUUACAAUUUACAGCCUAAGGAAGGGAGGAAGGAGAAGCCAAAGGGAGAGAAAAGGAGCCCAAGAGGCAACUGGAGGAGGAGGAGGCGAUUUAUCAACACACAAUUGGUUGAUAAAGACUUAAAAUAGUGUAUAACUACUAAAAUGUAUAAAUAUUAAAAUUAAUAUAGCGUCCCUACUUCGCAGAUUUUCACUUAUUGCAGGUGGUCCUGGAACCUAAUCCCUGUGAUAAGUGAGGGAACACUGUACAAUGUUCCAUCCCUUAUUGUGGGGGUUACGUUCCAGGACCACCUGUAAAAAGUGGAUAUCCGCGAAGUAGGGAUGCAAUAUUUAUUUUAAAUUUUAUACAUUAUUUUAAUAGUUAGGUGGCCUUUCUCUCCCUUUCAAGCCCUGGGGAGGCUUGUGGGCCAUUUUUCACUGUUUGCUGUAAAGCCACAACUCCCAGGAUUACCGUGCCUUGGGCUCUGGCAUUAAUUUGCCCAUCCUGGGGAGCCAGUGAAGCUUUCCCUACCAGCGCCAGCAGGCCCCUUGCUCUGUGCCCACCAUGUUGCUCUGGCUACUUCUUCUCCUCCACGUUUCCCGGCAUGGCCCAGCUGGAGCAGCGUUCCUUCUUCCCUGGCUGCAGGAGCAGAGGCAGCCAGAGCAACAUGGUGGGCAUGGAGCAAGGGGGCAGCCCUGAGGAGGAGAAGCAGCAGCAACAACAACCAUAAGAAGAUCCAACCAGUUUCCCACAAAACAGCAAGUCCGCAAAAAGUGAAUUGCAAAGUAGCAAGGGAACACUGUAUGUAUUUCAUAGAAAUACGUUUUAAUAUGUGUGUUUUUUCUAAUGUUUUGUAAUUAUGUUUUUUAACUGUGUUGUGCCCUGCCUUGAAGAGAGGUGAGUAAGAAAUUAUUAUUAUUAUACAUGAGUAUACACAUACAUUAUAUUGUGAAUAUGCAUUAGGACCUUAAAUAUCUUCUUCACUGGUAUAAAAAUCACCAGGCACUAGUUAUAGCUCCUCUGCCUAUGCUGUGCUUUUCCUCCUUGAAUACUUUGCUAGACCAUUUUGGACAGUCUAGGUAAAAGAAAGCAUAGUCAUAUUUUUAAAAUGUUUAUGCAAAGUUUUCUUGAACAAUACCCACUGUUUCAAAGAUGCAAAAUUUUGGAUACAAAAUUUCAACAAGGCAUGUUCAGGUUUUCUUUUAAAUUAAGAGUUAGAAAUAAUUUGAUGUCAUCAACAUUAAGUGUUUUAGUGAUAUCAAAUUAAGUAUGUCAGUGAUGUCAAACCUAUGGAUGAGAGAACUGGACCAUAAGAAAGGUGGAGCAAAGGAAGAUAGAUGCAUUUGAACUGAGGUGUUGGAGGAAAAUUCUGAGAGUGCCUUGGACCACAAGAAGAGUCAACCAGUCCAUACUCCAGGAAAUAAUGCCCGACUGCUCCCUGGAAGAAAGGAUAUUAGAGGCAAAGAUGAAGUACUUUGGCCACAUAAUGAGAAGACAGGAAAGCUUGGAGAAGAUAAUGAUGCUGGGGAAAUGGAAGGAAAAAAGAACAGGGGGCAAACAAGAGCGAGAUGGAUGGAUGUUAUCCUUAAAGUGACUGGCUUGACCUUGAAGGAGAUGGGGGCGGUGACAACUGACAGGGAGCUCUGGCGUGGGCUGGUCCAUGAGGUCACAAGAAGUUGGAAGCAACUGAAAAAAUAAACAGUAACAUUAAGUAUUGUUACACUUGUAUUUCUCUUCAGCUGUUUCCUCUAUAGAGUUCAAGGGCUAUUAUACAGUAUUAUACAGGUAGGUUAAGAUAUGCCUAACCUCAACAGAGUAUCUCAUGACAUUUCAACACAGCUCAUGCAUCACUUGAUUUCAGCAGAUGCCUUCAGUCUGCAAUGACAGUUAGCCAUUUUGAAGCAACCUCCCCCCUCUCUUCCUUCUGAAAGUACAGCAGAAUCCUUUUUAGUGCUGAAAACAUACCCACAGUUUCACUUACCUGCACCUGACAGAAAAGGUUUUUUUCUAGGAAUGUGUUACAUCAUCUAAGCAAUUCUAUAGUAUGCUUCCCACAGAAGUUACCUUGGAUUUGAGUUGGAGACAGGAAUCUCCAUGUCUUCCACACAAUUCUCUGGUAUGUCUGAACCAGAAGUAAGAUAAUUUAAAGACAUUUUGUUGUAUCUACAGUUUCACAUAACUGUGGUCUAUAUGUUCCACAGAUACAAAAUCAUCUUAUAUAUUAGGUACAUUGAUAGUUUACAAAGUUCAUUCAACAGCAUGCAGCGGGUAGAAAAUGUAUCACAACUAUUCUGAGACAUCCCCUUUAAUAGCUGUUCCCCAGUAACCAUUAUUUUUGAACAAUUGUGAGGGAGAAACAUUUUCAUGUUCUACCUGUGCACUUUUUACUGGUUUCUGCUGGCUACUGUAGGAACAGAGUGAUGGAUUGGAUACUAUUUUAGACUGAUCUGGGGCGGGGGGUGGCUUUUGUUCUUAUGUGUUUUACUGUCCUCUCACAUUCCUGUCAUCCAAGCUAGGGGUAGUGGAGAAGGAUGAAAGAAGGAACCGUCCAUAUUUUCAAUGCCUUUUUGUGACAUUUCUAAUGUGGAUGGUUGUGUAUAGAUUGUGCCUACUACCUCCAUUUUUCAAAAAAUGUCUGUAGAAUUUCCAAUUGAUACAUUCAUUACAAUAAUUAUUUUUUUUAAAAAAAAUGCAUUUGUUGUCUGUGCAUUGUUUUAAUGGGAAUGUGGGAGAUGACAUGUGUUUCUUUUCAGCAGCUGCUAAAACCCAAUCUUUAAAAGAGUGUGAGGGAGAGAACACACAUUUGAAGUGCCAAGUGCAUUUAAAAUGAGAUGUAUAAAAGCCUUUAAAAAAACCAACCCCACAUAAUUUUAGGGUGGAUGUGGAAGUCCUCUGUUCUUUUUAUGAAGCGUGAUCAUAAAUCAGUGCCUUUUGAAUCUCUCUCCAUGCUCAAGGCUAAGGAGAGCCUCGCACUUUGGUCUCUCUUCAUGCACUAAGUGGCCAGGGUCUUUGUCACUUUCUGAAAUUAUUCAUUCUGGCUCAGCUGUGCUCCUGCACAAGAGCAGCUGGCAUACAAAACAGGCAAGGGCUGGUUGAAGGAGCUUCUGUUUGACAGCUGAUUAAGGCCACAAAAUACAGCAGGGAUGUCAGUUACAGUGCAUGGGCUGAAUGGAUUCUGAAUCCACAAACUGUACAUUUUAAAAUUAUGAGAUGACUUCACAAUAAUUGCUGCAUGUCGAAGAUUACUUUGCCAAUCUUGGAACUUGGCCAUUUUGUUGGUGGUGUCUAAGUAGCUGGUGGUGACCUGGAAUAUUUCAGGCGUAUUUCUGUCAACACAUUUGAAACCUUAGAAAACAAGACAGACAGGCAUUGCCAGACUUUGAUGCAUACAAGGAUUUCAAUGCAUACAGAGACCACUCCACUUGUUGGACCUGUAAAGACUACAAACAAAGUGCAACAAAUGACAGAUGAAGCACGAGGCACAAACAAAAUCCUUCACAAUCCUGGUGUGUUUGGCAAGUUGAGACAAAGCAUGGAGCACUUUGUUCAAAACAAUAAAAGCACAGCUUCCAAAGACUGUUGACUCAAAGGACAAUCUCAUCACAAAUGCAUGUAAGAUAUAGAUGUUUACUUAUGUCCUCAGUAUUCACUGGAGCUUGGUCCCAGGACCCCCCUCCCCAUGGAUACCAAAAUCUUUGUAUGCUCAAGCCCCAUUAUAUACAAUGGUGUAAUAAAAUCAUGUCUCUUAUAUAAAUGGUAUAUUCAAUGUUUGCUUUCUGGAUUUUUUUAAUGCUUUCGACCCAUAGAUGGUUGAAUCUAUGGAUACAGAAUCUGUUGAUAUGAAAAGCCAACUGUAUUUUGAACUUAAAUCUUUUCAAAUCUGACUAAACUUCACUGGGAUAUAAUAUCAUCUUUGACUGAGCUUCAUCAUGUGUUGCACUGUAGAAGUUGAGACAAAAUGCAUUGUGUUUUCAUUCCGUAUUUGUUUCUAAGUUUGUUCACUAACAUUGAUGUUUAAAUCCAUCUUUCAGACUAUUUUAAUACCCCUAUGACAACUGUAAGUGGAUUUGGUCAGCAAGUCAUAAAUUUUAGAUUGCAAGUACUGCACUGAGUUUUUGAAGUACUACAAUAAUAAACGCUUCAAAGAGGGUUAGUGUUUUUAUACUACGUACAUUUCCUAACAGAUGUAUUUGAAAUGAAAUAGAUCACCUGAAAGAUUUGAAGCCAUUAAAGUGAUUCACUUUUUAAUUGGUUACAAAUAAGUAAUUCAGAUCUAGGUUGUGAUUCUAUAUAUGACUCGUGUAUUCUGCAUAACUGAUCUCUAUCCCAUACUUUGUGUCCACUUCCUGGGGUAUAGAAUAAUGAAUGAUUUAAGAAUUAAGUAAGUGCUGCAUGAUGUGGUGAGCAAUGUCACUCCUGCUUCUCUGCAAAGAACCUUCCAGAAUGAUUCUACCCAUAACUGUGUGAUGACACACUGGGUAUGCACUAGUAGAUUAUAUAGAAAGGAACUAAUUGUAUGUACAAUUACAAUUUUGGACUCAACCAUAUGGGUUCUGUAUCAUGAGAUGCAUCCAUUGCUGUGAAGAUACACCAUUCACUACACAGAUUACUUCCUUUGACAUCUUGUGCCUAUUCUAUCACACACUCCCACACUUUUUUUUCUGGCAGUUUAUUGAGGGACUUUCUUUUUAAUGUUGCCAAAGCCCUUUCUUGAUUUUUGGUAAGCUGGAUCCUUGUGUUUUAAACUGAUAUUUUAUUUAUAGCAUCAAUUUUAUAUUGUACAGUUUUUAAUAUUUAUUUUGUAAUCUGCCUUGUGAGACAAGGUGGGAUAUAAAUAUUUAAAGGUGAGAAAACAAUUUUGGAAUAAUUGUCUCCCUUUUGACAGUUAAGGUGAGUUGGAAGAUUUUAAAUAUGGAAGAAACAUAAACUGAUAGAAUGUCAUUUCCUUAUUUCUGAGUGUCAUAGAGGAAAAAGAUUGUCAUGUCGAACUGAAUUGCUGAAAACUAAUUUUUUUUUAGUAUAUAUUUAAUUUAAAAAAAACUUCUUAGCCAAUUGCCAGUGAUGGGUCAUGGUCAAUAUUCUUGGUUCAUGGAACCAAGAACUGUGAGACAAGUGCUUUAGUUUGUUUCCAAAUUUGAGCAAACAUAUUACUGAUGCUAUUACAUUUUGAAAAACUAGUCCACAUUUACCAGUUUGGAUUUUCAUCAAAUUGCCAAAUUAAUAUGAAUUUUAAAAAAUAAAGCAAUUCAAGAUAUUUUGAAAGAAUGGAAACUGUUUAUGGCUUUUUGACCAAUAGAAACUCUAAUCUGUGAUUAUGGCAACUAAUAACUUUAAUAGCUUUAUUUAAUUUAACUUAGCUAUAUUUGUAAGAAUAAGGUAACACAUUUCUUUUUUUGUUGCAUGUAUACAUGUAUAUAUGUAUAUUAUACAUACUUAUCUUGUUACCCUUUGUUUCUGUUUUUCUUCUUCCUUCUGAAUGUUGUUUAGUUUGUCUGUAUUAAAACUAAUAAACAAUAAAAACUGAAGGACAAGUUAGUUGUCAGAACAAAAGAGCAACCACAUUCAGGAAAACUUUCUUAUAAUUGCUAUGUAUCAUUAAGUCAGUUUUGACUUAAGGUACCCCAUAAAUGAGGGACCUCCGAGAAACUAUUAUUAACAGCCAUACUAGGCUCUUGCAAAUUCAGGGCCAUGAUUUCCUACCCUGGAGACUAGGACGCGGAACAAUGACUUCAAACUACAGGAAAGGAGAUUCCACCUGAACAUUAGGAAGAACUUCCUGUGAAAGCUAUUCGGCAGUGGAACUAACUGCCCCGGAAUAUGGUAGAGGCUCCUUCUUUGGAGGCUUUUAAGCAGAGGCUGGAUGGCCAUCUGUCGGGGGUGCUUUGAAUAUAACUUUCCUGCUUCUUGUCAUGGGGUUGGACUGGAUGGCCCAUGAGGUCUCUUCCAACUCUAUAAUUCUAUGAUUCUCUUCCUUGAUAAAAUCAUUCCAACUCUAGUGUGAUCUGCUACUUUUCCCUUUAGCAAACAUUAUUAUUUUUCUCCAAUGAAUCAUAUUAUUCAGAAAAUAUGAUAGCUUCGUUUAAUCAUGUUGGCUUCUAACUGUGUUAAAGACUAAUCUAGACCCAUUUGUUUGUCUUUUUGUCAGAUAACUCUCUGCCAGCAACACACAUUGAAUAAGUAGAUAUUUCUCCUGUCACCUUCCAUCAUUUUCCAGCUCUCACAUCCAUUGUGCACAUACAAACACCAACUGAAAUCCAUCUUGUGAUAAUAACUUCAUUGGGUCAAUCAAAAGGUGCAGAAAACAACAUACUAGGUUUUGAAGCUUUGCAGGAUUCUUCAUCAGGAAAGGUGAUAAAAUAGUAUAUAGAGCAAAAAGCUAACCUUUUGGAUGCUACAGGCAUACAUUUCUGAGAAGAGAAUAACUUCUCAUGAUUAUAAGCUGUGUGGGAACAAAAGCAAUAAAGCAGAGUUCAGUCUGGCUUCUCCAUCUGAAGUUACAAAGCAGUCCUUUCUAAUGGUAAAUGAAAUGGUAAAUAUAAUGAAAACAAUAUAUAUGAAUAUGGAGAACAGAGAAACACAUGCCUAGGUUAACAGCAACUCAUAUUUGUUUCCUUUCAGGUCUUCAACUUCAACUGUCCCUUAACUAUUUU